ACCCGGUUAGCUCAGUUGGUAGAGCGUGUGACUUUUAAUCACAAGGUCGGGGGAUCGAGACCCCCACUGGGUG